GUCCAUUAUUAUUAUAGUUAUUUACUUUUAAUCUGCAUGCUUGUUGCAAUCACUUGCCGGAACACACCCAGCACCCUAGAGCAAGUGAAGGAUAAGAGAUGUUACAGUAUUACUGAAAGCUUGAAGAGGGGACGUGAAAUGGCUGAAAU